rnacentral:sRNA from 1 species
UUGGAGGGCAAGUCUGGUGCCAGCAGCCGCGGUAAUUCCAGCUCCAAUAGCGUAUAUUAAAGUUGUUGCAGUUAAAAAGCUCGUAGUUGAACCUCGGGAUCGAUGGAUCGGUCAUGCCAUCGGUAUGUACUGGUCCCAUCGGUUCUCACCUUCUAAGGAACCAUGAUGUCAUUCAUUUGAUGUUUUGGGGAAUUAGGACUGUUACCUUGAAAAAAUUAGAGUGUUUAAAGCAGGCCAACGCUUGAAUACAUUAGCAUGGAAUAAUGAAAUAGGACAUCGCAUUCUAUUUUGUUGGUUUCUAGGAUCGAUGUAAUGAUUAAUAGGGAUAGUUGGG